UGAUGACAGCUUCUCCGGAAUCUCUGUACCUCAUUGAUGAAAAUCCGUUUGAACCCUGAUUUGUCUGACGACCGAUGAUGCAGUGGCAUU